GUGCAUCGGCCAUCUUAAGGGACACGUUGCAUUGAUGCUUGAAAAUUCUGCACGCUGUCGAUCAGGUAAUAAACAAUCUAAAUCUUGCAUUUUGUUUCUGUAUUAAUGCCGCUCAUCUGUAUUUUGUGAAAUUUGUAAAAACUGACUGACAGCGAAAAUUUGCAGCUCUCGGAUGGCGAAAUUUUAGGGUGUGUGUACGGAUGUGUUGGUGUGUGCAUGAGUGUGGGGGAGGGAGGAAAGGUUUUUCGUGAGCAGCUGGUGACGCAGGAAGAAAAGUUGAGUGUUUGUUAGCUUCAUUUGUACGCAUGCUUUAGUGCGUUCUUCGCGGCAUUGUGCGUAACUAUUUUCGAACAAGUGCAUAAUCGGAAUACGAUGCGGUGUGUGGGAAAUAUUUCAUCAGGACAUCCUAUGUGUCAUGUCGAAUAUCAGAAUUUUUGAAUCAUAUGCAUUGUCAAGAAAAAGCACUAGGAUUAUAUUUGUGAUUGAUACAUCGUGUGUGCUAUGGAUUACUUGUGAAUUGGAUAAUUUCGUGGAAAAAAAAUAGUGCCUUUGUUUGAAGUGAUUUAAUAAGGAUACUUAUUAAUUUAAUAAGGAUUUUCUCAUUUAUUUUCUUCAUUUCAACGCUGUAAAUUUGGAAAAAUUAAAUUAAAGGAGUACAAAACGUACGAAAAACUUUGUUUUGUUUCCAAUGGAGGAUACUAGCCAUUAAACUCCUUGGCCACUACUAAGGCCAGAAGUGGUGGUCUGUUGAUUAUGGAGGCACUUAAUAGGUGGGCCACCUUUGCCUCCUGUGAAGGGACAGACAGUUUACAUCCAUGCCUUCUGCAGGAUUCGAAUCCAGUUCCUUUGGUAAGGCAGACAAAGUCACCAACCACUUUGCCAGCUGAGCGGCAAAGUGCAUAGAACAAUGGUAUACAUUUUAAUUAGCGAAAUGUAACAUCGUCUUGUUUUGGGGGAAAGAAAUUUAUCUGGUGUGAUACGCGUUAAACAUACUCUAUGCUACUAGCAAUCAGAGCAUUAAUAUUUAGCAGCACAAGUAAAUAGUCUGUAAUUGAAUAAUUAUAUUAAAAAUUUUAAAAUUGGAAUAUAACGUUUACAAACCACUCAG